rnacentral:rRNA from 1 species
GGUCGAUAGGCGUCGCUCCCUGAAUAGCGGCGGACGGGUGAGUAACACGUGGGUAACCUGCCUGUAAGACUGGGAUAACUCCGGGAAACCGGGGCUAAUACCGGAUAACUCAGUUCCUCGCAUGAGGAACGGUUGAAAGGUGGCUUUUAGCUACCACUUACAGAUGGACCCGCGGCGCAUUAGCUAGUUGGUGAGGUAACGGCUCACCAAGGCGACGAUGCGUAGCCGACCUGAGAGGGUGAUCGGCCACACUGGGACUGAGACACGGCCCAGACUCCUACGGGAGGCAGCAGUAGGGAAUCUUCCGCAAUGGACGAAAGUCUGACGGAGCAACGCCGCGUGAGUGAAGAAGGUUUUCGGAUCGUAAAACUCUGUUGUUAGGGAAGAACAAGUGCCGUUCGAAUAGGGCGGCACCUUGACGGUACCUAACCAGAAAGCCACGGCUAACUACGUGCCAGCAGCCGCGGUAAUACGUAGGUGGCAAGCGUUGUCCGGAAUUAUUGGGCGUAAAGCGCGCGCAGGUGGUUUCUUAAGUCUGAUGUGAAAGCCCACGGCUCAACCGUGGAGGGUCAUUGGAAACUGGGGAACUUGAGUGCAGAAGAGGAAAGUGGAAUUCCAAGUGUAGCGGUGAAAUGCGCAGAUAUCGGAGAGAA